rnacentral:rRNA from 1 species
AAUGGGUCAGCGACUUAUAUUCUGUAGCAAGGUUAACCGAAUAGGGGAGCCGAAGGGAAACCGAGUCUUAACUGGGCGUUAAGUUGCAGGGUAUAGACCCGAAACCCGGUGAUCUAGCCAUGGGCAGGUUGAAGGUUGGGUAACACUAACUGGAGGACCGAACCGACUAAUGUUGAAAAAUUAGCGGAUGACUUGUGGCUGGGGGUGAAAGGCCAAUCAAACCGGGAGAUAGCUGGUUCUCCCCGAAAGCUAUUUAGGUAGCGCCUCGUGAAUUCAUCUCCGGGGGUAGAGCACUGUUUCGGCAAGGGGGUCAUCCCGACUUACCAACCCGAUGCAAACUGCGAAUACCGGAGAAUGUUAUCACGGGAGACACACGGCGGGUGCUAACGUCCGUCGUGAAGAGGGAAACAACCCAG